AUUUGAGUAGCUCUUAGAGUGUUAUUUUGAAGCAAUAAAGGAAGGUUAAACCUCUCAAAUA
rnacentral:tRNA from 1 species